UGACUUAGUAAAACGGUAAGAUCUGUAAAUUAGAUGAUAUAUGAUAUACUUAUAUGAUAUAUUAUAUGAUAUAUUAUAUGAUAUAUUAUAUUAUAUCUUAUAUAUUUAUAUCCUUAUUAUUAUAUUU